rnacentral:tRNA from 1 species
GCAGGUGUAAUCUAGUUGGUCAGGAUUUUGGCCUUCCAGGACGAAAGCCAACGGCCCGGGUUCGAAUCCCGGCACCUGCA